GUGGGGAAUUUUGGACAAUGGGCGCAAGCCUGAUCCAGCAAUGCCGCGUGCAGGAAGAAGGCCUUCGGGUUGUAAACUGCUUUUGUACGGAACGAAACGGCUCUGGUUAAUACCCGGGGCUAAUGACGGUACCGUAAGAAUAAGCACCGGCUAACUACGUGCCAGCAGCCGCGGUAAUACGUAGGGUGCAAGCGUUAAUCGGAAUUACUGGGCGUAAAGCGUGCGCAGGCGGUUUUGUAAGACAGGCGUGAAAUCCACGGGCUCAACCUGGGAAUGGCGCUUGUGACUGCAAAGCUGGAGUGCGGCAGAGGGGGAUGGAAUUCCGCGUGUAGCAGUGAAAUGCGUAGAUAUGCGGAGGAACACCGAUGGCGAAGGCAAUCCCCUGGGCCUGCACUGACGCUCAUGCACGAAAGCGUGGGGAGCAAACAGGAUUAGAAACCCCAGUAGUCC
rnacentral:rRNA from 1 species